GGACUACCCGGGUAUCUAAUCCUGUUUGAUCCCCACGCUUUCGUGCCUCAGUGUCAGUUGUAGUUUUGUAAGCUGCCUUCGCAAUGGGUGUUCUGUGUCAUAUCUAAGCAUUUCACCGCUACAUGACACAUUCCACUUACAUCAAAUACACUCAAGAACAACAGUAUCAAUGGCAGGUCUGCAGUUAAGCUGCAGGUUUUCACCACUGACUUGUCGUUCCACCUACGCACCCUUUAAACCCAGUAAAUCCGGAUAACGCUCGGAUCCUCCGUAUUACCGCGGCUGCUGGCAC
rnacentral:rRNA from 1 species